rnacentral:rRNA from 1 species
ACUACGGGAGGCAGCAGUGAGGAAUAUUGGUCAAUGGACGAGAGUCUGAACCAGCCAAGUAGCGUGAAGGAUGACUGCCCUAUGGGUUGUAAACUUCUUUUAUCUGGGAAUAAAAUGUUCCACGUGUGGGAUUUUGUAUGUACCAUAUGAAUAAGGAUCGGCUAACUCCGUGCCAGCAGCCGCGGUAAUACGGAGGAUCCGAGCGUUAUCCGGCUUUGUUGGGUUUAAAGGGGGCGUAGGUGGAUUGUUAAGUCAGUUGUGAAAGUUUGCGGCUCAACCGUAAAAGUGCAGUUGAAACUGGCAGUCUUGAGGACAGUAGAGGUGGGCGGAAUUCGUGGUGUAGCGGUGAAAUGCUUAGAUAUCACGAAGAACUCCGAUUGCGAAGGCAGCUCACUGGACUGCAACUGACACUGAGGCUCGAAAGUGUGGGUAUCAAACAGGAUUAGAUACCCGUGUAGUC